GUGUCCAUGAGCGCCCGGGCCAGCUCCAUGUGGUCAGCGGGCAGGCCGUGGUGGGCGCCCAGAGCCAGCGUCCCUGGCAGGAAGCACACCAGGUGGUCCUGAAACCAGAGCGGUUUCCUCACCACUACUCGCGAAGCCAUCGGGGGCCCAGAAAAACGGGUGGGUGCCGCCCCCUACGCCCCACCUGCAUCACGACCGUGCUCACCAUCUUGGCGCUGAAGCGGCCGUGGGCCAGCUCCCCCACAAAGGUGAGCUUCCUGGGCUCAGACCUGCGCAGCAGGUGCCUUUUGAUUCCCUCGACGGCUUCGAGGUAGUCUUCCAGUAACCUGUGAACCGGCAGGCCCCGUGGGCUCAGGCCAGGUGGGUGCGCGGCCCGACCCCCGCCCGGUUACCCAGGAGCGGGCACGUGGCCACGAGCUGCCAU